UACGUAGGGUGCAAGCGUUGUCCGGAAUUAUUGGGCGUAAAGAGCUCGUAGGCGGUCUGUUGCGUCGGCUGUGAAAACCCGGGGCUCAACUCCGGGCCUGCAGCCGAUACGGGCAGACUAGAGUUCGGCAGGGGAGACUGGAAUUCCUGGUGUAGCGGUGAAAUGCGCAGAUACCAGGAGGAACACCGGUGGCGAAGGCGGGUCUCUGGGCCGAUACUGACGCUAAGGAGCGAAAGCGUGGGGAGCGAACAGG
rnacentral:rRNA from 1 species